AGAAACUAACAAGGAUUCCCCUAGUAACUGCGAGUGAAGCGGGAAAAGCUCAAAUUUAAAAUCUGGCCUAGCCCGAGUUGUAAUCUAUAGAAGUGUUUUCGGCCGUUGACCUGGACAAGUCCCUUGGAACAGGGCGUCAUAGAGGGUGAGAAUCCCGUCCUUGCCAGGCUCCCAACGUCUUUGUGAUACACUUUCGAAGAGUCGAGUUGUUUGGGAAUGCAGCUCAAAACGGGUGGUAAAUUCCAUCUAAAGCUAAAUAUUGGCGAGAGACCGAUAGCGAACAAGUACCGUGAGGGAAAGAUGAAAAGCACUUUGGAAAGAGAGUUAAACAGUACGUGAAAUUGCUGAAAGGGAAACGCUUGAAGUCAGUCGCGUCUGCAGGGACUCAGCCUUUGGUGCAUUUCCUUGUGGACGGGCCAACAUCAAUUUCGGCCGGGGAACAAGGACUUGGGGAAUGUGGCAGCUUGCUGUGUUAUAGCCCCUUGUCGUACGCCUCGGACGGGAUUGAGGACCGCGGCUCUGCCUAGGAUGUUGGCGUAAUGGCUUUAAGCGACCC
rnacentral:rRNA from 1 species